UACAGGUGGAGGUGUAGCUGAAAAGGAGGAGUCUGGAGCUUUCCCACUGUCCAACACAACAUCGUCACCAGGAGCAGCGGCAGGAGCUGAUGAGGCAAAAUAUGUGAAUAUUAUACAAAUUUUUGUCUGUGGGAUGGAAGGUUGUAGCAGCAGCAUUAUCUGUUUCUGCACCAGGUUUGACGGUUUGGGUGAAUACAGACACAUACCAAUAAACUCACACUACCAUAACCUACCCGUCUGACUGAACGGACGUCCGACCACACACUCAUCAG